CUUGCAUCAGCUUUAUGCUACAGUAACACUGAAAUGAUUCAGAAGAAUCUAAGAACAAUGGCUACUCAGAGUCAACAAUUCAUUUUAAAAAGUUCUGGGCCAAAAACCAC
rnacentral:lncRNA from 1 species